rnacentral:rRNA from 1 species
UGCUCAGGUGGUUUUAUUAGUCAGAGGUGAAAUCUAAAAGCUUAACUUUUGAACUGCCUUUGAUACUGUAGAACUUGUGUACGGAAGAGGGCGAUGGAAUUCCUGGUGUAGCAGUGAAAUGCGUAGAUAUCAGGAGGAACACCAGUGGCGAAGGCGGUUGCCUGGUCCGGUACAGACACUAAAGCACGAAAGCAUGGGGAUCAAACAGGAUUAGAUACCCUGGUAGUCCAUGCCCUAAACGAUGAAUACUAGACGUUGGGUGUAAAAAACUCAGUGUCGGAGCAAACGCAUUAAGUAUUCCACCUGGGGAGUACGAUCGCAAGGUUGAA